GGGGACCCAGAAGGCCAUCUUCUUACCUACAGUUUUAAAUCCACAGAGAGGGAGCCCUGAAACUCUUGGAUCUUCAGGACACUGUGAUACCUACUGUUCCUGCAGCCAUGGUUGCAGAAGACUCUGGCCCAUCUUCAGCACAGAAUGGCCGCCCUUCACUGUCCUCACCUUGGACAGUUAGGGGAGGUUGGAAGGGAUUCCACGCUCCCUCCCCCAAGCCCUCCCCAACUUGC